rnacentral:rRNA from 1 species
UUAAAGGGCCGCGGUAUUAUAACUGUGCAAAGGUAGCAUAAUCAUUAGGUUCUUAAAUGGGAUCUUGUAUGAAUGGUUGAACAAAAGGGAAGCUGUCUUGGAAUUAAGAUUUGAAUUUAACUUUUAAGUGAGAAGGCUUAAAUAUUUUAGGGGGACGAUAAGACCCUAUAAAGCUUUACAUUUAGGCUGUGUUUAAUCGAUUUUAUAAAUAUAUAAAGAUUUAGUGUAGUUAACUGUUGUGUUGGGGAGACAAAGGCAAAAUUGAAUGUUAACUGCUUACAAAAUUAACAAUUUAUAAGUGUGUAGAUAUUAAUAGAUCCUGUGAAAAGAUACGGAACAAAAGACUAAGUUACUUUAGGGAUAACAGUGUAAUUUUUUUUGAGAGUUCCUAUCGAAAAAAAAGUUUGCAACCUCGAUGUUGAAUUAAAAAAUCUUUAUAAUGAAGCUGUUAUAAAAGAAGGUCUGUUCGACCUUU